GAGCUCCUUUUUUCUAUGAUGUAUUUUUUGAGAACCAUGUAAGGUCUCUGUUGGGCCCUGGGGGAGACUGUAGGGAAGGAUGAUUCCUGGCCUCCUGGAAGACAGACCAAUACAGAUUUGGGCAUGACUAUGAAUAAACCAAGGCAGAGAGGUAAAGGAGAGCAACAUGUUGAGUAAUGGCCAUGGCAAGGAGAUGAUGAGGACCUGGACGGGAGCUGCUUAAAGAGAUCAUGGAGGGAGUAGGUACAUACAUACAAGACUCAGAGAGGUAGGUGGGGAACGGCCUCCAGGCAGAGGGCUCAGCAGGCACAAAGGCCUGGAGCAAAAUGAAGGCCUGAAUAUGGUCAAGAGCAGACACAAGAUGAGGUCAGAGAGGUUGGAGAGUGGGUCAUGCCUCACAGUGUCAG
rnacentral:lncRNA from 1 species